rnacentral:misc_RNA from 1 species
GCUAGAUUCAUUUCUGGCAUGUGCACGUCCUUGCUUUUUUCGUCGACCUUUCUCUUUCUUUCUUUCACACCUGUGCACCCGUUGUAGGUCCUCGAAAGAGGAUCUAUGUUCUCUAUCACACCCGAUCGUCGUAUGUCCAUAGAAUGUAACGAAUAAAAUACAACUUUCAGCAACGGAUCUCUUGGCUCUCGCAUCGAUGAAGAACGCAGCGAAUUGCGAUAAGUAAUGUGAAUUGCAGAUUUUCAGUGAAUCAUCGAAUCUUUGAACGCACCUUGCGCUCCUUGGUAUUCCGAGGAGCAUGCCUGUUUGAGUGUCAUUGAAUUCUCAACCAUGUCUCGAUCGACUUCGAGGCAUGGCUUGGAGUUUGGGAGUUGCUGGCGUCAAGUCAGCUCUUCUGAAAUACAUUAGCGAUGGACGAGCAUGUCCUGAUGUGCACGGCCUACCGACGUGAUAAUGAUCGUCGUGGCUGGAGCGUUCCGGACGUCGCAUCUUCAUGGUCUGUUUCGCUUCCAAUCGAGAGUACCCUUCGAACGCUUGACCUCAAAUCAGGUAGGACUACCCGCUGAACUUAAGCAUA